GACGACGACGGGUAGCCGGCCUGAGAGGGCGACCGGCCACACUGGGACUGAGACACGGCCCAGACUCCUACGGGAGGCAGCAGUGGGGAAUAUUGCACAAUGGGGGAAACCCUGAUGCAGCGACGCAGCGUGCGGGAUGACGGCCUUCGGGUUGUAAACCGCUUUCAGCAGGGAAGAAGCCUUUAUCGGUGACGGUACCUGCAGAAGAAGUACCGGCUAACUACGUGCCAGCAGCCGCGGUAAUACGUAGGGUACAAGCGUUGUCCGGAAUUAUUGGGCGUAAAGAGCUCGUAGGUGGUUGGUCACGUCUGCUGUGGAAACGCAACGCUUAACGUUGCGCGUGCAGUGGGUACGGGCUGACUAGAGUGCAGUAGGGGAGUCUGGAAUUCCUGGUGUAGCGGUGAAAUGCGCAGAUAUCAGGAGGAACACCGGUGGCAAAGGCGGGACUCUGGGCUGUAACUGACACUGAGGAGCGAAAGCAUGGGGAGCGAACAGGAUUAGAUACCCUGGUAGUCCAUGCCGUAAACGUUGGGCACUAGGUGUGGGGGACAUUCCACGUUCUCCGCGCCGUAGCUAACGCAUUAAGUGCCCCGCCUGGGGAGUACGGUCGCAAGGCUAAAACUCAAAGGAAUUGACGGGGGCCCGCACAAGCGGCGGAGCAUGCGGAUUAAUUCGAUGCAACGCGAAGAACCUUACCAAGGCUUGACAUACACCAGACCGUUCUGGAAACAGUUCCUCCCCUUUGGGGUUGGUGUACAGGUGGUGCAUGGUUGUCGUCAGCUCGUGUCGUGAGAUGUUGGGUUAAGUCCCGCAACGAGCGCAACCCUCGUUCUAUGUUGCCAGCACGUGAUGGUGGGAACUCAUAGGAGACUGCCGGGGUCAACUCGGAGGAAGGUGGGGAUGACGUCAAAUCAUCAUGCCCUUUAUGUCUUGGGCUUCACGCAUGCUACAAUGGCUGGUACAGAGAGAUGCGAGACCGCGAGGUUUUAGCGAAUCCCUUAAAGCCAGUCUCAGUUCGGAUCGUAGUCUGCAAUUCGACUACGGAAGUCGGAGUCGCUAGA
rnacentral:rRNA from 1 species